rnacentral:lncRNA from 1 species
UCGGCGUCCGCAUACUGGUUCGCCCGGGACAACAGCUCCGGGAAGCUCCGCGGCAGGCGUUUGUCCAGGGAGAAGGUGAGUCUGCCCUUCCGGAAGCCACGCUUCAGGGCUGAAAGAGCUACCUCCUGACUCAGGUUCCGGACUUCCAGCGUAGCCUUGUUGAAGCGGGUAAGAUAAUCCCGCAGGCUUUCUCCCUCGUUUUGCCGGACAUCAAAGAGGGAGUCGGAGACCAGUCGCCGCCGGCUACUGACGGCGAAAUGAGUGAUGAAGAGGCGAGUGAACUGGUCGAAGGACCGG